rnacentral:lncRNA from 1 species
GAUUUGCUGGCCUCAGUCAAUUUGACAAGGAUUUCUGGCCCAUUCAAUUUGACAGAGAUUUGCUGGCUCCAGUCAAUUUGACAAGAGAUUUGCUGGCUAUAGUCAAUUUGACAACGAGAUUUGCUGGCUCCAGUCAAUUGACAAUGAGAUUGGCUGCUCCAGUCAAUUGACACAGAGAUUUGCUGUGCUCCAGUCAAAUUUAACAAAAG